rnacentral:rRNA from 1 species
GAAUCUUCCACAAUGGGCGAAAGCCUGAUGGAGCAACGCCGCGUGAGUGAAGAAGGUUUUCGGAUCGUAAAACUCUGUUGUUAGAGAAGAACAAGGAUGAGAAGAGAAUGUUCAUCCCUUGACGGUAUCUAACCAGAAAGCCACGGCUAACUACGUGCCAGCAGCCGCGGUAAUACGUAGGUGGCAAGCGUUGUCCGGAUUUAUUGGGCGUAAAGCGAGCGCAGGCGGUUCUUUAAGUCUGAUGUGAAAGCCCCCGGCUCAACCGGGGAGGGUCAUUGGAAACUGGGGAACUUGAGUGCAGAAGAGGAGAGUGGAAUUCCAUGUGUAGCGGUGAAAUGCGUAGAUAUAUGGAGGAACACCAGUGGCGAAGGCGGCUCUCUGGUCUGUAACUGACGCUGAGGCUCGAAAGCGUGGGGAGCAAACAG